rnacentral:piRNA from 1 species
UAUACAUAAACGUACACAUAA